CCUACGGGGGGCUGCAGUGGGGAAUAUUGGACAAUGGGCGAAAGCCUGAUCCAGCCAUGCCGCGUGUGUGAAGAAGGCCUUCGGGUUGUAAAGCACUUUCAGUGGGGAAGAAAGCCUUGGGGCUAAUACCCUCGAGGAAGGACAUCACCCACAGAAGAAGCACCGGCUAACUCCGUGCCAGCAGCCGCGGUAAUACGGAGGGUGCGAGCGUUAAUCGGAAUUACUGGGCGUAAAGCGCGCGUAGGCGGUCUGAUAAGCCGGUUGUGAAAGCCCCGGGCUCAACCUGGGAACGGCAUCCGGAACUGUCAGGCUAGAGUGCAGGAGAGGAAGGUAGAAUUCCCGGUGUAGCGGUGAAAUGCGUAGAGAUCGGGAGGAAUACCAGUGGCGAAGGCGGCCUUCUGGACUGACACUGACGCUGAGGUGCGAAAGCGUGGGUAGCAAACUGGAUUAGAUACCCUGGUAGUC
rnacentral:rRNA from 1 species